rnacentral:piRNA from 1 species
UCAUCGAGGUGUCUAAACAUCACUGCUAC